GGACAAAGGGGAAGGAAACGCAGUGAGCACACCAGCAGGCUUCUGUCCCCAGCCAGGGCCCGUUCCUCUGGGUGGCCCUGGCUCGGGCCUCCGGUGGAGCCUCCUGCUCUGCGGAUCUUCUGGUUUCUCAUCUGCCCUCCCCUGAGCCCUGGGAGGACGGCGCUCACCGACACACUGGAGCUGCGCAGUUUCAGGCCACUGUUCCCAGACUUGCACUGACUCCAUGAUGAUCAACUCUGCCCAGGAAGUUGUCUCAGAGGGUCACCAGGAAGUGCACGGUCCAGCUGCACACAGAGGGCUCUGACUCUCCCUGAACAGCAGAGCCACAGGGGUCCCUGAGUCAGCCAGGAAGAGGGCCACCUGCCCACCAGAAGCACCACAUGGAGCUGUUCAGGAAGCAAGAAUUAACGGUGUUACAUGAAGCCACUGAAAUGCGGAGGUUUUGCUUGUUAGAUGCUAUUAUAAGUUCCCUAAUAUGGCAUGUUAUAAAUCAUCUCUGGCUGCCUCUGAAUACAGUGUGUUUUCUAAACCAAAAG
ensembl:lncRNA novel transcript